rnacentral:lncRNA from 1 species
UUGGCCAGGCUGGUCUUGAACUCCUGACCUCAGGUGAUCCACCUGCCUUGGCCUCCCGAAGUGCUAGGAUUACAGGCAUGAGCCACCAUGCCCGGCCUGCGUCAUAACUUUGUGUUUGAAUUGAUAAUUUGUGCAAAUCAGGAAAAUAUAUAUUUAAUUAAGUUGAGCCAUAUGAAUUUGCUGAUAUUCAACCAUUUUGUAAAAACAGGAGUGGCAAUUUCAUAUGGUUCAAUAAAAUAAAAUUGAGGCCGGGCACAGUGGCUUACACCCAUAAUCCCAACACUUUGGGAGGCUGAAGCAGGAGGAUCGCUUGAGCUCAGGAGUUUGAGACCAGACUGAGCAACAUGGCAGAACUCUGUCUCUACAAAAAUACAAAAAUGAGACAGGCAUGGUGGCACAUACCUUUAGUUCAGUUCUAGGUGAUUGGGAGGCUGAGGUGGGAGGAUCGCUUGAACCCAAGAGGCAGAGGAUGCAGUGAGCCAAGAUCAUACCACUGGAAACCAGUCUGGGCAACAGAGUGAGAACCUGUCUCAAACAAACAAACAAACUGGAAUUUAUUUUUAUGUAUGGUAUGAGAAAGGGAUUUGUUUUUUUUUUUUUUUUUUUUUUUUUUUGAUAUGGAGUCUUACUCUGUUGCCCAGGCUGGAGUGCAGUGGCGCCAUCUUGGCUCACUGCAACUUCUGCCUCCUUUCCUUUGUUCAAGCGAUUCUCUUGUCCCUGAGUAGCUGGGAUUACAGGCACCGGCCACCACGCCCAGCUAUUUUUUGUAUUUUUAGUAGAGACAGGGUUUCACCAUGUUGGCCAGGCUGGUCUCAAACUCCUGACCUCAGGCAUUCUGCCCCCCUUGGCCUCCGAAAGUGCUGGGAUCACAGGCAUGAGCCACUGUGCCCAGUCUGAGAAAGGGAUUUAAUUUACUUUUUUUCUUCCAAAUGGAUAGCUCCUUGUCCCAACACUCUCUAUUAGUCUGUCAUUUCCCAAGUGAUUUUAAAUGUCUCCUUUAACAUAUACUAAGAUUACACACACACACACACACACACACACACACACAUACACACAAAUGGACACAUAUAUGUGUGUGUGUGUAUAUAUAUUUUUCUGGACUUUUAAAUUCUAUUGUAUUGAUCCAUUGGUCUGUUUUUCACAGUACUAUUUCAAUUAUUGUGACUUUACAACAUAGUUAACAUCUGGUAAAGUUCUUUCUCUAAUGAAUCUUAACUUUUUUUGGCCCAACUCAUAGAUGAACUUUAAAAUUAACUUGCCAAUUCUAUAAAAUAUGCUGUUGGAAUUUUGAUAAAAUUAUAUUACAUUUAUUAUUUAAUUUGGGGGCAUAAUAUCUGUAUAUUAUUGAGUCUUUUCAUCUAGAAAUAUCUUUUAUGGCCUUCAUUAAAAUUAUAUGGUUAUCCUCAAGAAUUUUCUUUUCUUUUUUUUUGAGACAGGGUCUCACUCUGUCACCCAGGCUGGAGUGGAGUGGCACAAUUUCUGCUCACUCAACUUCCUAGGCCCAGGUGAUCCUCCCACCGCAGCCUCCCAAGUAGCUGGGACUAUAGGCAUGUGCCACCACACCUGGCUGAUUUUUUGUAGAGACUGGGUUUCGCUACAUUGCCCAGGCUGUUCUUGAACUCCUGGACUCAGGUGAUCCGCCCAUGUCAGCCUCCCAAAGUGCUAGGGUUACAGGCAUGAGCUACCAUGCCUGGCAACAGCUUUCAUAUUUGUAAGUUUUUUUUCCUAGGUAACCCAAGGUCUAUUGAAAUUGCAUAUAGCUUUCUUUUCUAUUACAUAUUUAAAUAGAUUUUUUCUGAUUUUAGAAAAGCUGUAGAUUUUUAUAUGUUAAUCUUGUUUCCUUUCUGAAAGUUUUUAUUAGCCCAUAUAGAUUUAUGUGAUUCACUGGAUUUUCUAGGUAUAAAUCUACCUUGCCAAUAUUCAUACUUAUUUCUUUUUUUUCUGGUAUUUUUACGUUGCCUGGUAACUCUAGGAAAAUGUCUACUAUUGAUGAUAAAAGUAAGCAUCAUUAUGUGUUGUUUCUGAGUUCUAUGGAGAUGUGGUCUAAUGUUUUGUUCUUCAGAAUAAUGUUUGGAGAUUGGCAAAAUGUUGAUUAUUGUUGAAGAUGAGUGACAGGUCCAUAGCGGCCAUUAAUCUAUUUUCUCUAUGCUUGUGUAUGUUUGAAAAUUUCCAUAAUAAAAGAGUUAAAUUCUACAAAGAGUCAAAUUUAAAA